CACGUAGGGGGCAAGCGUUGUCCGGAUUUAUUGGGCGUAAAGCGCACGUAGGCGGCUUUUUAAGUCAGGGGUGAAAUCCUGGAGCUCAACUCCAGAACUGCCUUUGAUACUGAGAAGCUUGAGUCCGGGAGAGGUGAGUGGAACUGCGAGUGUAGAGGUGAAAUUCGUAGAUAUUCGCAAGAACACCAGUGGCGAAGGCGGCUCACUGGCCCGGUACUGACGCUGAGGUGCGAAAGCGUGGGGAGCAAACAGG
rnacentral:rRNA from 1 species